UCUUGAGUUCAUUACUUUGUCUCUGAUAACAGAUGGUGUUUUCACAGAGUCAUUUCCAUAAGGAUUAUGUAAGACAACAGAAAUAAUAUCAUGACGGGUUGCCAUUUCUCAUGACUAAGUCAUAGGAUUAAAUCACAAGGAAAGAAAAGCAAGAUGAUCUGCACAGGCAUUUCUGCAGACUUGCUUACUUUCAAGUGCUUAGAAUACUCUCAGAUUGAAUAAGAAAGUGAUCAGUAUGUAUUUUACUCCUGAG